UACGAAGGGGCGUAGCGUUGUUCGGAAUCACUGGGCGUAAAGCGCACGUAGGCGGACUUUUAAGUCAGGGGUGAAAUCCCGGGGCUCAACCCCGGAACUGCCUUUGAUACUGGAAGUCUUGAGUCCGAGAGAGGUGAGUGGAACUCCGAGUGUAGAGGUGAAAUUCGUAGAUAUUCGGAAGAACACCAGUGGCGAAGGCGGCUCACUGGCUCGGUACUGACGCUGAGGUGCGAAAGCGUGGGGAGCAAACAGG
rnacentral:rRNA from 1 species